UCCAGCAGCCGCGGUAAUACGUAGGUGGCAAGCGUUGUCCGGAUUUAUUGGGCGUAAAGCGAGCGCAGGCGGUUUUUUAAGUCUGAUGUGAAAGCCUUCGGCUCAACCGAAGAAGUGCAUCGGAAACUGGGAAACUUGAGUGCAGAAGAGGACAGUGGAACUCCAUGUGUAGCGGUGAAAUGCGUAGAUAUAUGGAAGAACACCAGUGGCGAAGGCGGCUGUCUGGUCUGUAACUGACGCUGAGGCUCGAAAGUAUGGGUAGCAAACAGGAUUAGAUACCCUGGUAGUCCAUACCGUAAACGAUGAAUGCUAAGUGUUGGAGGGUUUCCGCCCUUCAGUGCUGCAGCUAACGCAUUAAGCAUUCCGCCUGGGGAGUACGGCCGCAAGGCUGAAACUCAAAGGAAUUGACGGGGGCCCGCACAAGCGGUGGAGCAUGUGGUUUAAUUCGAAGCUACGCGAAGAACCUUACCAGGUCUUGACAUACUAUGCAAAUCUAAGAGAUUAGACGUUCCCUUCGGGGACAUGGAUACAGGUGGUGCAUGGUUGUCGUCAGCUCGUGUCGUGAGAUGUUGGGUUAAGUCCCGCAACGAGCGGCACCCUUAUUAUCAGUUGCCAGCAUUAAGUUGGGCACUCUGGUGAGACUGCCGGUGACAAACCGGAGGAAGGUGGGGAUGACGUCAAAUCAUCAUGCCCCUUAUGACCUGGGCUACACACGUGCUACAAUGGAUGGUACAACGAGUUGCGAACUCGCGAGAGUAAGCUAAUCUCUUAAAGCCAUUCUCAGUUCGGAUUGUAGGCUGCAACUCGCCUACAUGAAGUCGGAAUCGCUAGUAAUCGCGGAUCAGCAUGCCGCGGUGAAUACGUUCCCGGGCCUUGUACACACCGCCCGUCACACCAUGAGAGUUUGUAACACCCAAAGUCGGUGGGGUAACCUUUUAGGAACCAGCCGCCUAAGGUGGGACAGAUGAUUAGGGUGAAGUCG
rnacentral:rRNA from 2 species